UCUUGUGUUCAGGUGAUCUAGUUGUGACUGUCUUGUGUUCAGGUGAUCUAGUUGUGACUGUCCUGUGUUCAGGUGAUCUAGUUGUGACUGUCCUGUGUUCAGGUGAUCUAGUUGUGACUGUCUUGUUUUGUGGUUAGAGAAGGUAGUGGUUAGAGAAGGUAACCUAGUGGUUAGAGCAGGUAGCC